rnacentral:rRNA from 1 species
UACGGGGUGGGCAAGCGUUGUUCGGAAUUACUGGGCGUAAAGGGCUCGUAGGUGGUCAACUAAGUCGGACGUGAAAUCCCUCGGCUUAACCGGGGAACUGCGUCCGAUACUGGAUGACUUGAGUUCGGGAGAGGGAUGCGGAAUUCCAGGUGUAGCGGUGAAAUGCGUAGAUAUCUGGAGGAACACCGGUGGCGAAGGCGGCAUCCUGGACCGACACUGACGCUGAGGAGCGAAAGCCAGGGGAGCAAACGGG